GACAGAGGGUGCAAACGUUGUUUCGGAAUUACUGGGCGUAAAGCGCGUGUAGGCUGCUUCGCAAGUCGGGUGUGAAAGCCCUGGGCUCAACCUAGGAAGUGCACUCGAAACUGCGAAGCUUGAGUUCUGGAGGGGAAGGCGGAAUUCUCGGUGUAGAGGUGAAAUUCGUAGAUAUCGAGAGGAACACCGGUGGCGGAAGGCGGCGACCUGGGGACAAUACUG
rnacentral:rRNA from 1 species